ACUCCUACGGGAGGCAGCAGUAGGGAAUCUUCCACAAUGGGCGCAAGCCUGAUGGAGCAACACCGCGUGAGUGAAGAAGGGUUUCGGCUCGUAAAGCUCUGUUGUUAAAGAAGAACACGUAUGAGAGUAACUGUUCAUACGUUGACGGUAUUUAACCAGAAAGUCACGGCUAACUACGUGCCAGCAGCCGCGGUAAUACGUAGGUGGCAAGCGUUAUCCGGAUUUAUUGGGCGUAAAGAGAGUGCAGGCGGUUUUCUAAGUCUGAUGUGAAAGCCUUCGGCUUAACCGGAGAAGUGCAUCGGAAACUGGAUAACUUGAGUGCAGAAGAGGUAGUGGAACUCCAUGUGUAGCGGUGGAAUGCGUAGAUAUAUGGAAGAACACCAGUGGCGAAGGCGGCUACCUGGUCUGCAACUGACGCUGAGACUCGAAAGCAUGGGUAGCAAACAGGAUUAGAUACCCCUGGUAGGAUAGCG
rnacentral:rRNA from 1 species